CUUAGUCAGAUGCUGCAGACCCGAAACGAAGUGAUCUAUCCAUGAGCAAGUUGAAGCUAGUGUAAGAACUAGUGGAGGACUGAACCCAUAGGCGUUGAAAAGCCCCGGGAUGACUUGUGGAUAGGGGUGAAAGGCCAAUCAAACUUCGUGAUAGCUGGUUCUCUCCGAAAUAUAUUUAGGUAUAGCGUUGUGUCGUAAUAUAAGGGGGUAGAGCACUGAAUGGGCUAGGGCAUACACCAAUGUACCAAACCCUAUCAAACUCCGAAUACCUUAUAUGUAAUCACAGCAGUCAGGCGGCGAGUGAUAAAAUCCGUCGUCAAGAGGGAAACAACCCAGACUACCAGCUAAGGUCCCUAAGUCUUACUUAAGUGGAAAACGAUGUGAAGUUACUUAAACAACCAGGAGGUUGGCUUAGAAGCAGCCAUCCUUUAAAGAAAGCGUAAUAGCUCACUGGUCUAGUGAUUUUGCGCGGAAAAUAUAACGGGGCUAAAGUAAGUACCGAAGCUGUAGACUUAGUUUACUAAGUGGUAGGAGAGCGUUCUAUUUGCGUCGAAGGUAUACCGGUAAGGAGUGCUGGAGCGAAUAGAAGUGAGCAUGCAGGCAUGAGUAGCGAUAAUUAAUGUGAGAAUCAUUAACGCCGUAAACCCAAGGUUUCCUACGCGAUGCUCGUCAUCGUAGGGUUAGUCGGGUCCUAAGUCGAGUCCGAAAGGGGUAGACGAUGGCAAAUUGGUUAAUAUUCCAAUACCAACAUUAGUGUGCGAUGGAAGGACGCUUAGGGCUAAGGGGGCUAGCGGAUGGAAGUGCUAGUCUAAGGUCGUAGGAGGUUAUACAGGCAAAUCCGUAUAACAAUACUCCGAGAACUGAAAGGCUUUUUGAAGUCUUCGGAUGGAUAGAAGAACCCCUGAUGCCGUCGAGCCAAGAAAAGUUUCUAAGUUUAGCUAAUGUUGCCCGUACCGUAAACCGACACAGGUGGGUGGGAUGAGUAUUCUAAGGCGCGUGGAAGAACUCUCUUUAAGGAACUCUGCAAAAUAGCACCGUAUCUUCGGUAUAAGGUGUGGUUAGCUUUGUAUUAGGAUUUACUCCGAAAGCAAGGAAACUUACAACAAAGAGUCCCUCCCGACUGUUUACCAAAAACACAGCACUCUGCUAACUCGUAAGAGGAUGUAUAGGGUGUGACGCCUGCCCGGUGCUCGAAGGUUAAUUGAUGGGGUUAGCAUUAGCGAAGCUCUUGAUCGAAGCCCGAGUAAACGGCGGCCGUAACUAUAACGGUCCUAAGGUAGCGAAAUUCCUUGUCGGUUAAAUACCGACCUGCAUGAAUGGCGUAACGAGAUGGGAGCUGUCUCAAAGAGGGAUCCAGUGAAAUUGUAGUGGAGGUGAAAAUUCCUCCUACCCGCGGCAAGACGGAAAGACCCCGUGGACCUUUACUACAGCUUGACACUGCUACUUGGAUAAGAAUGUGCAGGAUAGGUGGGAGGCUUUGAGUAUAUGACGCCAGUUGUAUAUGAGCCAUUGUUGAGAUACCACUCUUUCUUAUUUGGGUAGCUAACCAGCUUGAGUUAUCCUCAAGUGGGACAAUGUCUGGUGGGUAGUUUGACUGGGGCGGUCGCCUCCCAAAUAAUAACGGAGGCUUACAAAGGUUGGCUCAGAACGGUUGGAAAUCGUUCGUAGAGUAUAAAGGUAUAAGCCAGCUUAACUGCAAGACAUACAAGUCAAGCAGAGACGAAAGUCGGUCUUAGUGAUCCGGUGGUUCUGUGUGGAAGGGCCAUCGCUCAAAGGAUAAAAGGUACCCCGGGGAUAACAGGCUGAUCUCCCCCAAGAGCUCACAUCGACGGGGAGGUUUGGCACCUCGAUGUCGGCUCAUCGCAUCCUGGGGCUGGAGCAGGUCCCAAGGGUAUGGCUGUUCGCCAUUUAAAGCGGUACGCGAGCUGGGUUCAGAACGUCGUGAGACAGUUCGGUCCCUAUCUGCCGUGGGCGUAAGAAGAUUGAAGAGAUUUGACCCUAGUACGAGAGGACCGGGUUGAACAAACCACUGGUGUAGCUGUUGUUCUGCCAAGAGCAUCGCAGCGUAGCUAAGUUUGGAAAGGAUAAACGCUGAAAGCAUCUAAGCGUGAAGCCAACUCUAAGAUGAAUCUUCUCUAAGCUCUCUAGAAGACUACUAGUUUGAUAGGCUGGGUGUGUAAUGGAUGAAAGUCCUUUAGCUGACCAGUACUAAUAGAGCGUUUGGCUUAUCUUUAAUAAAGCAU
rnacentral:rRNA from 1 species